rnacentral:rRNA from 1 species
AUACGGAGGGUGCGAGCGUUAAUCGGAAUUACUGGGCGUAAAGCGCGCGCAGGCGGCUGGGUCAGUCGGAUGUGAAAGCCCCGGGCUUAACCUGGGAAUUGCAUUCGAUACUGCCCGGCUAGAGUAUGGGAGAGGGAAGUGGAAUUUCCGGUGUAGCGGUGAAAUGCGUAGAUAUCGGAAGGAACACCAGUGGCGAAGGCGGCUUCCUGGCCCAAUACUGACGCUCAGGUGCGAAAGCGUGGGGAGCGAACAGGAUUAGAAACCCCGGUAGUCC